GAUGAAGAACGUAGCGAAAUGCGAUAAGUAAUGUGAAUUGCAGGAUUCAGUGAAUCAUCGAAUCUUUGAACGCACAUUGCGCCCGCCAGCAUUCUGGCGGGCAUGCCUGUUCGAGCGUCAUUUCAACCCUCGAGCCCCCCCGGGGGCCUCGGUGUUGGGGGACGGCACACCAGCCGCCCCCGAAAUGCAGUGGCGACCCCGCCGCAGCCUCCCCUGCGUAGUAGCACACACCUCGCACCGGAGCGCGGAGGCGGUCACGCCGUAAAACGCCCAACUUUCUUAGAGUUGACCUCGGAUCAGGUAGGAAUACCCGCUGAACUUAAGCAUAUCAAUAAGCGGAGGA
rnacentral:misc_RNA from 1 species